CGUGAGUCACACCAGUCAGUCUGUUAUCGAUCUACGUAUUGAUCGGUUGGGUGGGCUGGGGUGUUGUUCCGUGCCACCAUACCCUCCAAGUUAAUUCAGUAGUGCAGUUCGGUUUAGUGUUGUGACUCGUGUGUUCAAUUAGUGUUGUGAUUAGUGCCCUAUUGGAUAUACUGGAUACGAUCAUAGAUUGCAAGAAUAAAUCAACUCUACUUGGAUUAAGUGGAGUAUCAAUCAAUUAAGAAUAAAUGUAUGGAUAAAACUUUGCAUGGAUAGUUUCUAAGAAUGAAUGCAUGCUGGAAAUGAUAAAAUCAUGGCAAUAAAUCAACAUUACUUGGAUUAAGUAGAGUGAGUAUACCUCAUUUAAGUAUAAAUGUAUGCAUAAAACUUAGCAUGGAUAAGUAUAGUAUAGAUUAGUAGAUUAGAAUAAAUGCAUGGUAUCAUCAAUAUUAGAGUUUUUAAAUAGUUCUUUUUCUGGUUAAAACAAAAAAGAUUUUUUGUUAAUUUCUUCGUUGAUCGUCGAGACAUGCUCACAUUUAAACUUUGAUGAUCCAACCAACCAUUGGAAAAACGAUAAGGCAACGGGGAAAGGGCAUUAGAGGUAGGUCCUGAACUAGACUAGUUAACCUAACAAUUGACAACGCAAAAUAAGUUUUUGAACAUAUUGAUUUUAAUUCAAAAUUUUCUUGCAUCAUCAUCUUUUGAUUUAUAUAUUUAAAUAUAUUUUUGAAAGAUGUAAGAAAGAUAUCUUUUAUGAUUUUCACCAAUGGUUUAUUUUUAUUUUGAUUGUCCAAUCUAAUCAGACAUUCUUUUCAGCUCAAAUAAAUUAAUGAUACAGUUGUGUCAAAUGUUUAUUGGGUAUGAUUUU